rnacentral:rRNA from 1 species
GAUGAACGCUAGCGGCAGGCCUAACACAUGCAAGUCGAACGGUAACAUAGAUUGCUUGCAAUCUGAUGACGAGUGGCGCACGGGUGCGUAACGCGUAUAGAACCUACCCUUAAACGGGGGAUAGCCUUUGGAAACGAAGAUUAAUACCCCAUAGUAUUUUUUAGUGGCAUCAUUAGAGAAUUAAAGAAUUUCGUUUAAGGAUGGCUCUGCGUCCCAUUAGCUAGAUGGUAAGGUAACGGCUUACCAUGGCUACGAUGGGUAGGGGCCCUGAGAGGGGGAUCCCCCACACUGGUACUGAGACACGGACCAGACUCCUACGGGAGGCAGCAGUGAGGAAUAUUGGACAAUGGUGGGAACACUGAUCCAGCCAUGCCGCGUGCAGGAAGACUGCCCUAUGGGUUGUAAACUGCUUUUAUACAGGAAGAACACCAUCUACGUGUAGAUGUAUGACGGUACUGUAAGAAUAAGGACCGGCUAACUCCG